rnacentral:rRNA from 1 species
AAAGGAAUAGACGGGACCCCGCACAAGCGGUGGAUCAUGUUGUUUAAUUCGAAGAUACGCGAAGAACCUUACCAGGUCUUGACAUCCCUUGCAAUACUAUAGAGAUAUAGUGGAGGCUAUCAAGGUGACAGGUGGUGCAUGGUUGUCGUCAGCUCGUGUCGUGAGAUGUUGGGUUAAGUCCCGUAACGAGCGCAACCCUCGUCGUUAGUUGCCAUCAUUAAGUUGGGGACUCUAACGAGACUGCCAGUGAUAAACUGGAGGAAGGUGAGGAUGACGUCAAAUCAUCAUGCCCCUUAUGACCUGGGCUACAAACGUGAUACAAUGGAUAGAACAAAGGGAUGCGAAGCAGUGAUGUGGAGCGAAACCCAUAAAAAUAUUCUCAGUUCGGAUUGAAGUCUGCAACUCGACUUCAUGAAGCUGGAAUCGCUAGUAAUCGUGGAUCAGAACGCCACGGUGAAUACGUUCUCGGGGUUUGUACACACCGCCCGU